UCUUGUAGCUUUUCAUGUCUUUUUGAAACUAAUUGAUGAAAUUAUAGGUUUGUGAAUUCAAUUGUUUAUUGGUUUGUUUAAUCAAUUGUAUUAGCAAAAAUUAUUUCGUAAAUUGAUGAAAGUAUAAAUUUGCUCCUGUUUUGUUGAAUAUAGAUGAUGGCAUUAUUGAAGAGGUUGGUUUGAUGAACAAGAUGCUGUUGAAUAAGAAAUGUUGAUCAUGACUAUGGAUUCCGAAUAAAGAAACUGGUGAAAAACCUUUAUACAAAGGAAUGAAAGAAGGACAUGGGCUUAUUGUUCUUAUGGACAGGAUAAUUAGGAAGUUGGAACCUUUACAAGUGCAAACUGACCAUCAACCCUCCUUGGCUCCUUUGUAGAACAGCCUACUCAAUCGAUUUCUAUAAAGAUUUGAUACAAAAGGAAGAUUGGGAAGUGCCAUUCUCUAGUGCCGUAUCUUUCUAUUUUUUUUAGUUGGUUUGAUGACUUCUUGGUUUUGUUUUUUUGGUGCCUGUAUAUCAUGUCAAAAAUAAAACAUGGACCUUUUAUCCGGCUUUCUUGGUAGCAAUUGUUCUCUGGAGAAAGCUGGUGGUACUCAAAAUCUAUUCUUUAUUUAAAGAUCCUUUUUACUUAGUAUUUUAAGACUUUAAGAUCCUUUUUACUUAGUAUUUUAAGACAUCUAUACGAAGUAUUGUUGCAAAAUAUUAUAAUAGGAAGUGUUAUUAGCCAUUUGGCUCAUGUAUAAUCUUUUAGGAAAACGUGUCGUACUCUUUACCGGCUCAGUGCAAUUUCCGGAAGUUCAUUUGAGAA